GGGGUCUGGGGUGGGGUGUGUGUGGGACACCCCGAAUAUACAAAGUGCAUAAGCAAACACAGCUGCGUCGGAUUCAGAUAAUUUCUUUUUCCCUUUAUUUUCUGGUGUUUUCUUUCAAGUCUCUGUUUUGCAGCCACAGCCAGCUGGUCUCAAUCCACCUUCAUGAAUCAUACGAUUGGCUGGUGCACCUGUUAAUAUCUAUUACCAAACAGAAACCGGAAUGGAGAACACCAAGACAGUUCUGGUGGGAUCAACUGCUGCACUUGGGCACAGGAAAAGGCACAGUUAAGGGGUGUCCAAUCACAGUCCUGGAGGGCCAUCCCACUCCGGGUUUAACAGAAACGACAUCAUCGAAUCACAGAUGAAAUUGUAAGAUGCACAGGUUCCUUUUUCUGUGAACUGAUUAAAGGCGACAUAAGAACAGCUAUUUGUAACUAUGAUAUUUUAAAUGAUUGCAGUUAAAAUACAGCAUUAAUCCAACACUGAAUAAACUGGAGCGUGUUGUACAUUAUGUUAAUCAAUUAACACUGUGGUUUGGGCAACAUUUUAUGAUAUAUUUGAAGCUAAUGCUGUGUUGUAAACUAAGAUCUCUAGAUUAUAUCUUGCCACUGCUGCAUUAGAAAGCAAAUUAUUUAGUAGAUCUACAACAGCUAAAAUUUUGAUUUAAUUCAGACUAAAAUGUAACCGUGGCAAAAUUAAAUUAGUCCUGACGUGAUUCAAUAUGUGCUCAACUUUGCAUUAUAAUUAGUGCAACUUUUAAAUCUGACAGCAAGAACUACUUAUUAAAAGUAGUUAAAAUACAUUUGAUGGUGACUCAAGUAUCACAAGGAGGAAACUGACCAUUUGGAUGACCAGAUCCAACUUGUCGGUACAUUUUAAACCUGGUUUGUACAACGUAUUGCAAGCAUCAUUAGUAUUUGUGGGACACAUAUGUCUCUUUUACCUUAGGGUUAAAUGUCUAAUUUAUAACCUCCUCCUGAUCUAGACAGAAGCAGUUUCAGGUCAUUUUACCCCACAGAGUGGCAUAGGGGUUGAUUUGAUCCACUUAUUCCCCACAGGGAUAGGUUUGGAACAAACACCUGUGCCAGCUUAUGAUGGGACCUACAUGGGUGUCUCCCUUCUCCUUUUCUUCAGAGGGUGCACAAAAGGCUGAACUUGGAAUUACAUUUCGGGAUAAAGGUGAACAUGGUUGUGUGGCACUUUAAAUAUUAAAUAACAGACAGACGUACACAUUGGAUAAACAGAGUGAGAAAUGGGGAGAUGGGCUCUUUUCUGAUUGUAUUUUGGUCCUUACAAAACAUGCUGCCAUUGUAGACUGCUUACUAUUUAUCCACAAACGUCUAGCCAGCCAAAUUAAACUAGCCGUCUGGCUGGUCUUUAGCCAUCAGUUUCAGCAAAAAGGCCCAGUUGUAACAAUACUGGAACUGUUUGGGCUUUGACCUAUUAAUUGAGUUACCCAUUAACCCACUAACAUCCAUGUUAGUAGUUCUGUAUAGUUACCUGCAGACAUCAUGUUAUGUUUCAAGCCUUAACAUGCAAUAAGAAGCUAAGUUAAGAGGGUACUACAAAUAAUACGCAAGAUGUUUCAAGGGCUUUACACCAUUUUGCAACACGGUAAGGGAAACUGCUACCACACUAGAAACAAUCAAUUGAAAAGCUCCCUGGUUGCUUGGCGUAAAGACCAUGAUAAAUCUGGCAAAUUGUUCUAUUAUUGAUCUGGAGUCCCACCUUCCUCUCACAAAGAAUUUCACUUCAGUACUCAAAACUUCAGAAAAUAUGCUUUACUUCUGUAUUCUUUUUUUUUCUUUUUUUCUUUUUUUUAGUAAAUACCAGACAAGAUAUCUUUUUUCUUUAGAUACAACAGAGCUUGUUUCA